AAAUUGAAGAGUUUGAUCAUGGCUCAGAUUGAACGCUGGCGGCAGGCCUAACACAUGCAAGUCGAACGGUAACAGGAAACAGCUUGCUGUUUCGCUGACGAGUGGCGGACGGGUGAGUAAUGUCUGGGAAACUGCCUGAUGGAGGGGGAUAACUACUGGAAACGGUAGCUAAUACCGCAUAACGUCGCAAGACCAAAGAGGGGGACCUUCGGGCCUCUUGCCAUCGGA
rnacentral:rRNA from 1 species